UACGAAGGGGGCUAGCGUUGUUCGGAAUUACUGGGCGUAAAGCGCACGUAGGCGGAUCGAUCAGUCAGGGGUGAAAUCCCAGAGCUCAACUCUGGAACUGCCUUUGAUACUGUCGAUCUGGAGUAUGGAAGAGGUGAGUGGAAUUCCGAGUGUAGAGGUGAAAUUCGUAGAUAUCGGGAGGAACACCGGUGGCGAAGGCGGCGACCUGGGUAGAUACUGACGCUGAGGUGCGAAAGCGUGGGGAGCAAACAGG
rnacentral:rRNA from 1 species